CAAUUCCUUCCAUUCAUUAGAGGGAGAAAAAAUGAUUCUGUGGCUAAACUUGGUGUCCUUCCUAGCAGUCCUCAGAGGGGUCCAAUCUGAGAUCCAGUUGGUGGAGUCUGGCGGGGAUGUGAAAAGGCCUGGAGAAUCCCUCCACCUCUCCUGCCAAGCCUCUGGAGAUGACUUCAGCAGCUACAACAUGGACUGGGUGAGACAGUAUCCAGGGAAAGGACUGGAAUGGGUUGCUGUGAUUGAUUAUGAUGGAGAAACGUUCUACUCAGACAAAGUGAAAGGACGGUUCACCAUCUCCAGAGAUGAUGACAACAGCCUUCUGAAUCUGCAAAUGAACAGCCUGAAACCAGAGGACACGGGAGUCUAUUACUGCACAGCUGACACAGUGAGAGGAAGUGAAUCUGAAACAAAGCAAAAACCGCUUUUUCCCUCAGAACAGAGCUUGAUAUUGCUCCCAAAACAAAAAAUUGAAUUUAUAAAUGAGAACAGCUAUGUCCUCCCUCCCUCCCUCCCUCCCUCCAAAAUUCAGAUAUUCUGA